GUGAGGAAUAUUGCGCAAUGGAGGCAACUCUGACGCAGCCAUGCCGCGUGCAGGAAGAAGGCGCUACGCGUUGUAAACUGCUUUUAACCGGGAAGAAACCCCAGGACGUGUCCUGGGUUGACGGUACCGGAGGAAUAAGCACCGGCUAACUUCGUGCCAGCAGCCGCGGUAAUACGAAGGGUGCAAGCGUUAUCCGGAUUCAUUGGGUUUAAAGGGUGCGUAGGCGGAGCGUUAAGUCAGUGGUGAAAUCCUGCAGCUUAACUGUAGACUUGCCAUUGAUACUGGCGCUCUUGAGUGCGGUUGAAGUGGGCGGAAUGUGCCGUGUAGCGGUGAAAUGCUUAGAUAUGGCACAGAACACCAAUUGCGAAGGCAGCUCACUAAGGCGAUACUGACGCUGAGGCACGAAAGCGUGGGGAUCGAACAGGAUUAGAAACCCGGGUAGUCC
rnacentral:rRNA from 1 species